UUCGCAAUGCCCGAAAGGGUGACGAAGCGACGCCGCGUGGGUGAGGAAGGCCCUCGGGUUGUAAAGCCCUGUCAGGAGUUAAGAAAUGUAAGUGCGCUAAUAUCGCAUUUAUUUGACGAAGGCUCCAAAGGAAGCCACGGCUAACUCUGUGCCAGCAGCCGCGGUAAUACAGAGGUGGCAAGCGUUGUUCGGAAUUAUUGGGCGUAAAGAGCACGUAGGUGGGUUUGUAAGUCAGAUGUGAAAGCCUUCUGUUCAACGGAAGAAUUGCAUCUGAAACUACAAGUCUUGAGUAUAGGAGGGGAGAAUGGAACUUCUGGUGGAGCGGUGAAAUGCGUAGAUAUCAGAAGGAACGCCGGCGGCGAAAGCGAUUCUCUGGCCUAUUACUGACACUCAGUGUGCGAAAGCUAGGGGAGCAAACGGGAUUAGAUACCCCGGUAGUCCUAGCCGUAAACGAUGGGCACUAAGUAGAGGGGUUUU
rnacentral:rRNA from 2 species